GACAGAGGGGGCAAGCGUUGCUCGGAAUUACUGGGCGUAAAGGGCGUGUAGGCGGCUUCGUAAGUCUUGUGUGAAAGCCCUCGGCUCAACCGAGGAAUUGCACGAGAAACUGCGUGGCUCGAGUCCGGGAGAGGAUAGUGGAAUUCCCAGUGUAGCGGUGAAAUGCGUAGAUAUUGGGGAGGAACACCGGUGGCGAAGGCGGCUAUCUGGACCGGUACUGACGCUGAUACGCGAAAGCCAGGGGAGCAAACGGG
rnacentral:rRNA from 1 species